UACGAAGGGGGCUAGCGUUGUUCGGAAUACUGGGCGUAAAGCGUAUGCAGGCGGAUCGUUAAGUCGGGGGUGAAAUCCCGAGGCUCAACCUCGGAACUGCCUUCGAUACUGGCGAUCUUGAGUCCGGGAGAGGUGAGUGGAACUCCGAGUGUAGAGGUGAAAUUCGUAGAUAUUCGGAAGAACACCAGUGGCGAAGGCGGCUCACUGGCCCGGUACUGACGCUGAGGUGCGAAAGCGUGGGGAGCAAACAGG
rnacentral:rRNA from 1 species